rnacentral:rRNA from 1 species
CGGACGAACGCUGGCGGCGUGCUUAACACAUGCAAGUCGAACGGUGACGAGGAGACUUGCUCCUCUGAUCAGUGGCGAACGGGUGAGUAACACGUGAGUAACCUGCCCCAGACUCUGGAAUAACAGUUGGAAACAGCUGCUAAUACCGGAUACGAGACGGAGAGGCAUCUCUACCGUCUGGAAAGUUUUUCGGUCUGGGAUGGACUCGCGGCCUAUCAGCUUGUUGGUGAGGUAAUGGCUCACCAAGGCGACGACGGGUAGCCGGCCUGAGAGGGCGACCGGCCACACUGGGACUGAGACACGGCCCAGACUCCUACGGGAGGCAGCAGUGGGGAAUAUUGCACAAUGGGCGAAAGCCUGAUGCAGCAACGCCGCGUGAGGGAUGACGGCCUUCGGGUUGUAAACCUCUUUCAGUAGGGAAGAAGCGAAAGUGACGGUACCUACAGAAGAAGCACCGGCUAACUACGUG